rnacentral:tRNA from 1 species
AGUUAUGAAGCUUUAGAUAAGCACAUAUUUUGAAAAUAUGAGAUAAGAGUUAAAUUCUCUUAAUAACUU